GACGAACGCUGGCGGCGUGCUUAACACAUGCAAGUCGAACGGAAAGGCCCCUUUGGGGGUACUCGAGUGGCGAACGGGUGCGUAACACGUGAGUAACCUGCCCUUGACUUCGGGAUAACUUCAGGAAACUGGGGCUAAUACCGAAUAGGAAUCCUUGCUGCAUGGUGGGGGUUGGAAAGCUUCGGCGGUUUUGGAUGGACUCGCGGCUUAUCAGCUUGUUGGUUGGGUAGUGGCUUACCCAGGCUUUGACGGGUAGCCGGCCUGAGAGAGCGACCGGCCAUAGUGGGUCUGACAGACGGCCCCGACUGCGAAGGUGGGCAGCAGGGGGGAAUACUGAAGGAGGGGCGGAAGCCUGAUGAAGCAACGCCGCGGGCGGGAUGACGGUCUUCGGGUUGAAAACCGCUUUCAGCAGGGGCGAAGCUUGUGGUGACGGUACCUGCAGAAGAAGCACCGGCUAACUACGUG
rnacentral:rRNA from 1 species